CGGACCUCAGCUCUUCAGCUGUAAAACAAAGAAGUAGGAUUUGAUGGCCUCUUAGGCACCUUCCAGAGCAAAACUAAUGAUCUUCUGUUCCUAGAUUGGUGCAGCCAGUGACUUUUAUGCCCUCAGAGAAACAAACUCCCUCGUCAUUGGAUAUAAUGGGUUGAAACCUUCCUUUUCAGUUAACUUAAGGGGCCUCCUUUUCUGCUCCACAUUGAGACCUGGGUUCUGUGUAAAUUGUUCAGACACCUGAAUUGUUCCCUGGGGAGACCAUGGAGGAGGACCACGGCCACCAAGGGUCAGCAUGAGGCUAUGCAAACAGCAGGUGCUCAGAAACAUUUGGCAGUGGCAUGGAUGAUGGAGUAAAUAUCUCCUGGUGGAAAAAGAUCAAAUGAGAUGUGAUGCUUUAGGAACAGAAGAUUACAACCCAUCUCUGUGGGUGAAAACUUGAGGCCACUAGAAUGCCUGCAGCUAAUUAAUGCCUCUAAGGUGCUUUUAAAUCCUGGGAUGAAAGGGAAGUCAUCCAGCAGCAAAUGCCAAAGGCCUACAUACAGAAGGGACAUAACUUGCCCGAAGUUAUAGGGAAAUGGGAUCAACGUCAGAACUUGAACCCAGCUCCGAGAACUCCUUUCAUUACAUCCUACUCCUCUUACACUAAGACAACUGGAGAAUCUUGUUAACUAACCCCUGAGGAAGCUCAGCAACCCCCAGGGAAUUGUUGAAUCAUGAUCAAUAAUAAGCAUGGGACACAUAGACUUUCAAAAGGAUAGUCCUUUAUUGCUGGAAAACUAGUCUGGGCAAAACUCUAUCCUAGCAAUCAGAGCAACCUACAACUCCUGGGAACAAAUAAAGAGCCCAUUGGAACCCAGGGGAAGGAAAGCACUAACAUUGCACCACAGCUCCCCCUGGUGCAGCUAAUAGACAUGGCGUCCACAACUGGAGAAGAAACCAAUCACCAACUUCAGAACCUUGCUAACAGCUGGAGAUGCUCGCUAACAAUCCCUUUGGUCAGGAAGACCAAUGUUUGUUGGAACAUUAAUGGAAGAGGACCUUGAGUUCACCCAUUGUCUCUGAAAUAUGUCCAUGACUGCUAAAGAUUAGUUUGCAAGAUGAUGGGAGAUAGUGUCUACAGUGGGAUGGUAAGCUCCUCCCUUCAGGCGCUUCUCAAUCCAUUGAGCGAUUGAACCUUGAUGCUGAAAGGGAGAGAGAAAUCAUUGUAGUUCCCUGGAUUCUCAAUCCCAUGCUCAAGAUCAUAUCUGUCCUAAUGGAUCUUGGGGCCUACAAUUUCUUCUCCUUUGGCUCUUUGUACUGUUGCCACACUCAUCUUCUUUCUGCAUGGAUCUGGUCAUGGCAUUUCCCUCCUUAAUAAAAAAAAAAACAAAACUA